rnacentral:ribozyme from 13 species
CUUUCUUGUGGUUCCUUUUUUUUCUUUUUUUUUUUUUUCCCUUCCCUUCCCUUUUCUCUUUCUCCCCUCAAGAUUUUCUACAAAAAGAACAAUCAACCAGUUGAUUUUCUCCCUCCUUGGUCAAAGCUAUGACCCUGGUCAUGUGUGAUUUGGCAAGCAAAGUGAUGAGAUCUCCAUUUUCUU